rnacentral:rRNA from 1 species
AAACCGUUCAGGGGUAAACCUGAGAAACCCAAAAGAUCGAAUGGGGAGAUUCAGCGCUCGGCGAUGUCUGGCUUCCGUGCGGCGUAGCGAUGUCGCGGGUAUUUCGGUAUCCGCGUCACGCCGUCGCUGCGGUAUGACCGGCGUCGUCGGCGUGCACUUCUUCCCUAGUAGGACGUCGCGACCCGUUGGGCGUCGGCCUAAGGCUCGUACGGUAGACUGUCGCGCUCCUGGCGCGUCAGACCCUCGAUCCGCCCGGCCGACUGCUCGGCGGUAAUUGUUGCUUGACAAAAUUUGAACAAGGUACAGGGCCGCAUUUGAAUGCGUUCGACUCGACUUGGAGCGCUCGCCUCGCUCGGUUUUACGGACCUAGAGCCGUUACUGGGCGCUUGGCGGUGUUUUUCCUCGACGAUGAUCUCGAACCGGCUCAGCGCGACGGGGGAGCCUCGUGCUCUCUCGCGCGCGCGAACCUGUCGGCGACGCUUUUGCUUUGGGUACUUUCAGGACCCGUCUUGAAACACGGACCAAGGAGUCUAACAUGUGCGCGAGUCAUUGGGUUCUUAAAUUUUUUUCGAAUUAAACCUAAAGGCGCAAUGAAAGUGAAGAUACGGCAGGCACUCGUGCCUCAGCCGAUCGAGGGAGGAUAGGACGGGUUACGACCUGGACUCGCACUCCCGGGGCGUCUCGUGCUCAUCGCGAGCAGAGGCGCACCCAGAGCGUACACGUUGGGACCCGAAAGAUGGUGAACUAUGCCUGGUCAGGACGAAGUCAGGGGAAACCCUGAUGGAGGUCCGUAGCGAUUCUGACGUGCAAAUCGAUCGUCGGAACUGGGUAUAGGGGCGAAAGACUAAUCGAACCAUC